GCUCCGGUAGCUCAGUUGGAAGAGCAGGGGACUCUUAAUCCUCGUGUCGCAGGUUCAAGUCCUGUUCGGAGUAC
rnacentral:tRNA from 2 species